rnacentral:misc_RNA from 1 species
AAGUCGUAACAAGGUUUCCGUAGGUGAACCUGCGGAAGGAUCAUUAUCGAGUUUUGAAAAGGGUUGUAGCUGGCCUUCGGCAACAAGUCGGAGGCAUGUGCACGCCUGGCUCAUCCGCUCUCAAACCCCUGUGCACCUUUUGUAGGCUUCGGCAGAGAGGACUGACUUCGGUCGGUUCAGGAAGCCUUGUGCCUAUGUCACACAUACAAACGCUUCAGUUUAGAAUGUAACGAAUCGUGCGCCUCGGUGCAACGAAGUAAAUACAACUUUCAGCAACGGAUCUCUUGGCUCUC